AGGAUGGCGUCGCGGGCACACAAGUAUCGCGAUAGCCACGCUACGCACGGGAACCCCAGCUCUGCUUACGUCCAAGGUACCAGGAAUGGCGCAUGCGCACCUAAGUCAGGCUGAAGAAAAGCGCACGCACAAGGGAAAGAAUUGGAUUAAGAUUCACACCAAAAAAUUGCAACAGAUAUGAACCUCUCAGAAACUGAACCCUACAGAUGAUUUUACCAAAAGUUCCUGCUUUGGAUUAGGGUGGUUCACGCCAACUAAUGAGGUCCCUAUCUGUGGUGAUGCUACCCUGGGCUGUUAUUCCAUAUAAAAAUAAUGUAUAUUUAUAAAUUAUUUGAUACUGUGACUAAGUUUUGCAUAAUUUGUCAAAUGUUUCUGAUAUUAAAAAGCUAUGAGAGGAAUUUUUAAAAUAUAUUCCACAAAAAAUGCAGUUAAGCUACUGGAACAUUAAGGGACUGUCUCAAUUGCUUCAUAAAAUUACUAGAGACAAGGUGGGUGAGGAAACAUCUUUUAGUGGACCAGCUUCUGAUGGUGAGAGGGACAAGCUUUCAAGCUACACAGUUCUUCUUCAGGUCUCAAAAAGUGUUGUGCAGAUUUCCUUUAAGGACGAGGACUAAUAGGUCAGACAGAAUGACGGCUUUGUGAAAACACUUUUCGCUUUUAAAAGACAAGCAGGAAAGCUUAAAUUUGUAACUCUGCUGGACACUAAAAAUCAUGGACUGAGCAGAGACACUGGAUUUAUGGCUUAUUACAACAACCUGUAACCCUGACUAACCCUCAUUUUGUCCUAUGACUGAAGAGAUGUUAACGGGCCACUCUGCCUUGAAUGGUUCCUUAGAAUAUGUGCUAAUUUCUUAUGCUAAACAAUGCGUUCCACCUUGCAUUAGCUGUGCUGCUGAGAGUACGUUUUGUAGAUCUGAAGAAGAGCUCUGUGUAGUUCGAAAGCUUGUCUCUCUCAUCAACAGAAGUUAGUCCAAUAAAAGCACCACCGUCUCUCUAAUAUUCUGGGACUGAGAUGGCUACAACUACCCCUUAAAUUAUUGUCUGUCUGUUAUAAAUAGGACCAGAUCUUGAAGUCCAUAUUUGGAUACCCAUAACCUGCAACCUCCCUCCCCCAUUACCCUCAUUAGUGAAGGGAGCCAAACAUGCGAAACUGGGCUGGGGCAGCUACUGAAGGGACAGAGUAUCUCCUGAGUUAGUUCCCCUCUUAAGCCAAGAGGAAAUCCCUACACAGGUUGGGGCCCCAUUGACUGAUACCUGGUAUACCCAUUAACUUCAGCAACAUAUGAGUUCAAUGUGAAUUUUGCCUGAGGCCUGGUCUACACUAUGAGGUUAGGUUGAAUUUAGCUACGUUAGGUCCAUUUUAUAAGCAGUGCGGCUACACAACCAACCCCGUUCCGCUGACCUAAAGGGCUCUAAAAUCAACUGCUGUACUCCUCCCUGACGAGGGGAGUAGCGCUAAAAUUGACCUUCCUGGGUCGAAUUUGGGGUAGUGCAGACGCA